rnacentral:tRNA from 1 species
GGCCCCGUAGUUUAACUGGCAAAACACCCGCCUUCUACGCGGCUCGUCUCCGGACUGGAGAGCUAUCCCGGUUCGAAUCCGGGCGGGGCUACCA